AAAUCUCAUAAUUAUAUUGACUUUAUUGUACAGUUUACAAAGAUCCAUUUCAAAUUCUGUAGCUGGCUUAUUGAGUUUUUAUAGAAAGAAAUGUUGAUUCACCAUGUCAAAUUCAAAGGAUGCAAAGGGUGUGAAGCGCAAAAGAACUGCAAGCUGGUUUAAAGUUGAAUGGCUUAACAAAAUAUUACUAAAAAUUAGAGGGAACAUUGCCUCGAAAGCUGCCUGU